UCUCUUCCCGCGCCCCGCCCACUAGCGCAAAGUCUUAGACGCGCAUGCGUUACCAUGGCCCGGGAGGCGGAACUGCUGCAUCCGGGUACUCGGGAGCCUAUGCUGCGCGGUGAGGAGGCUUAUGUUCUCUUCAUUGAAAGCAGUAAGAGUUUAAGAAAGAUGGAGACAGACAAUGGGAGACACCCACAGUUGACCUAAAACCUGAGAAGUCAGAAUGACGUCCGAGAAGUCAGUUCCGAGGCUUGGUGUUGGGGAUUAAACAACUGUGACAUUUAUUUCCAGGAUACAUCCAAACAUACUUAAGGUUAAUAAAGCAUGACAAUUGCCUUAAAAUAACUUUUCAUUGAAUAAACUAAUCACAUCUGUAAA